GACGAAGGGGGCUAGCGUUGUUCGGAAUUACUGGGCGUAAAGCGCGUGUAGGCGGUUGUCCAGGUCGGGUGUGAAAGCCUUGAGCUCAACUCAAGAAAUGCACUCGAUACUGGGCGACUAGAGUGCCGGAGAGGAUAGUGGAAUUCCCAGUGUAGUGGUGAAAUACGUAGAGAUUGGGAAGAACACCAGUGGCGAAGGCGGCUAUCUGGACGGUUACUGACGCUAAGACGCGAAAGCGUGGGGAGCAAACAGG
rnacentral:rRNA from 1 species